GUGAGAGAAAAAGCUAUAAAAAGGAGGAAGAAGAUUCAGCCUGUUAAUAGACCCUCUGCUCCUUCCUUUAUUUUAUUUAGGUCUUUUCUUGGCAUAAAACCUUUUUCUAGAAUUAUUAUGCCACAUAUUAAUCUUCAUUUACAGUAGGAAAUAUUAUACUAUUGGCUCUAGUCAUAUUGGGAAUUUAAAAAAAAAAAAAAUAGAGCACAAGAAAUUGAUUAUUAUUUAAAUAGGGAAUUGAUUAUUUAACUUCAUAAGAAGUUGAAUAAGCUAUAUAUAUUACUUGGGGAUCGUCGUUUCCCGCAGUCAUGAAGUAUCUACCUUCUACUAACACAAUGUAACACAUGAAGGUUUGUCAAGAAAAUGUCCUUUAAUUGCAAGCUGUUAGGCUUUUUCUUUUUCUUUUUUCAAAUGUUUGUACAUGUGUAGCCUUGUUAACAUGAAUAUGGGACAGCCUAAAUAUGAUGCUUUUAUGUUAUCAUUUUACAUCCAAUGGUUUUUCACUAAAUAAGAAGUUGAAUUUUUUUUUUCCCUGGUUGACUCUGAUGAGUGUCAUGGAUAUCUCAGGUGUGAAAUUGUCAUGUUCAUCUUUGAAAACGUCAAGUUGGGUAGCUGAUUUUUCUUUUGUGACAGAAUAAACUAAUCAUUUGCAUUUCAUGCCAAAUUGAUGCCAGGUGUUUACAAGAGCAAGAAAUAGUAUAUGAAGUAUAAAGAGGUGAAUUGAGCAUAAAAGGAAGCAAAGGACACAUCAAUGGGCGAUUUUGAAGAGGCCUUGGCCAUUGACAAAACGAGCUUAGAUGAGUCUUAUUCAUAGUAUUUGGUGGCUAAUGGUGAAAAAAUGAACAGAUUUGAACACCAAACUAUGUUGGGCGAAAAUCGAGCUUCUUUGGACAACCUUAUUGGUGCUUAUAUGUGAACUACUAUUUAGAGUAUGAAUUUGACUAUAUGGGCUUAGAGGGACCUUAAUUGACAUAUGUUAAGUUGAAAUAUGAAAAAUGAGUGCAAUUGGAUUAGAUUUA